UUACCUUGAUGAGGGCACUUUCGUAAUAACUCUUUGAACCGCUCCCAUGCCUCAUAUAAAGAUUCUGCAUCAAGUUGUUGAAAUGAAGUGAUUUCAUUUCGAAUCUU
rfam:Gossypium hirsutum cultivar TM-1 chromosome 15, whole genome shotgun sequence